rnacentral:misc_RNA from 1 species
GAUAAAGAACGCAGCAAAAUGCGAUAAGUAAUGUGAAUUGCAGAAUUCAGUGAAUCAUCGAAUCUUUGAACGCACAUUGCGCCCGCCAGUAUUCUGGCGGGCAUGCCUGUUCGAGCGUCAUUUCAACCCUCAAGCACAGCUUGGUGUUGGGACUCGCGUUAAUUCGCGUUCCCCAAAUUGAUUGGCGGUCACGUCGAGCUUCCAUAGCGUAGUAGUAAAACCCUCGUUACUGGUAAUCGUCGCGGCCACGCCGUUAAACCCCAACUUCUGAAUGUUGACCUCGGAUCAGGUAGGAAUACCCGCUGAACUUAAGCAUACAAUAAGCGGAGGA